GACGAACGCUGGCGGCGUGCCUAAUACAUGCAAGUAGAACGCUGAAGCUUGGUGCUUGCACCGAGCGGAUGAGUUGCGAACGGGUGAGUAACGCGUAGGUAACCUGCCUGGUAGCGGGGGAUAACUAUUGGAAACGAUAGCUAAUACCGCAUAAGAGUAGAUGUUGCACGACAUUUGCUUAAAAGGUGCAAUUGCAUCACUACCAGAUGGACCUGCGUUGUAUUAGCUAGUUGGUGAGGUAACGGCUCACCAAGGCAACGAUACAUAGCCGACCUGAGAGGGUGAUCGGCCACACUGGGACUGAGACACGGCCCAGACUCCUACGGGAGGCAGCAGUAGGGAAUCUUCGGCAAUGGACGGAAGUCUGACCGAGCAACGCCGCGUGAGUGAAGAAGGUUUUCGGAUCGUAAAGCUCUGUUGUAAGAGAAGAACGAGUGUGAGAGUGGAAAGUUCACACUGUGACGGUAUCUUACCAGAAAGGGACGGCUAACUACGU
rnacentral:rRNA from 1 species